CGCUUUCUUUCUCUACUCUAUUUCGCUCUCUCUCAAUAAGCUCUCUAAGUUUCGGACUCACGAGAGCUUGAAGCCUCAGACCGUUUAAAUUGCAAUCCAGGAGAAAAGCAAGGCAAUGACUUUAAUGUGGUUCACUUAAUAUGGAUGUUUGGUUGGUUCAUGAAUUUGCACAGCUGUUUUGAAUGUGAUGUGUAGGAACCGUCAUACUUUCA